rnacentral:rRNA from 1 species
UACGUAGGGGGCUAGCGUUGUCCGGAAUCAUUGGGCGUAAAGAGCGUGUAGGCGGUCCGGUAAGUCCGCUGUGAAAGUCGGGGGCUCAACCCUCGAAUGCCGGUGGAUACUGUCGGGCUAGAGUGCGGAAGAGGCGAGUGGAAUUCCUGGUGUAGCGGUGAAAUGCGCAGAUAUCAGGAGGAACACCAAUUGCGAAGGCAGCUCGCUGGGACGUUACUGACGCUCGAUGCACGAAAGCGUGGGGAGCAAACAGG